UUGCUUUGACAACUGAGACUGUAAACUUAAUAAGUGAGUGAUCUGAAACCACCGAUGCAAGAGACACAAUGUCAGUAUUUGAGACAGUAAUACCACAAACAAGAACCAAAUCCAGGGUAUUUCCACUAAUGUGAGUCAAACCCUGAAUGCAUUGCUCGAAUCCUAAUACAUCUAUAAUGUCCAUGAUUUGCAGAUGGG